rnacentral:rRNA from 1 species
AUGAACGCUGGCGGCGUGCCUAACACAUGCACGUCGCACGGAGUCCAGCCUUUAAGACCUUCGGGUCAAAGAGGGGAAGACUGAGUGGCGGACGGGUGAGUAACACGUGGGCAACCUGGCUCAUAGAGGGGGAUAACAGAGAGAAAUUUCUGCUAAUACCGCAUAAGCACACACUGCCGCAUGGCAGAGGGUGAAAAGAGAAUCGCUAUGAGAUGGACCCGCGUCUGAUUAGCCAGUUGGCAGGGUAAGAGCCUACCAAAGCGACGAUCAGUAGCCGAUCUGAGAGGAUGAACGGCCACAUUGGGACUGAGACACGGCCCAAACUCCUACGGGAGGCAGCAGUGGGGGAUAUUGCACAAUGGGGGGAACCCUGAUGCAGCGACGCCGCGUGAGUGAAGAAGUAUUUCGGUAUGUAAAGCUCUAUCAGCAGGGAAGAUAAUGACAGUACCUGAAUAAGAAGCCCCGGCUAACUACGUG